rnacentral:rRNA from 1 species
UACGGGGGGAGCAAGCGUUGUUCGGAUUUACUGGGCGUAAAGGGCGCGUAGGCGGCGCAACAAGUCACUUGUGAAAUCUCCGGGCUUAACUCGGAGCGGUCAAGUGAUACUGUCGUGCUAGAGUGCGGAAGGGGCUACUGGAAUUCUCGGUGUAGCGGUGAAAUGCGUAGAUAUCGAGAGGAACACCUGCGGCGAAGGCGGGUAGCUGGGCCGACACUGACGCUGAUGCGCGAAAGCUAGGGGAGCAAACGGG